GGCACCGAGGCUCUGCUUCCGGGGAGGCUCCAGGUUUGGGGCAUGGUUGACCUCAAAUCCCAGAGGGGCUGGGAGGCAGCCUACAGUCAUAGCUGCCACUGUAGCUACUGAGAAGAAUUGGUACCUUCAAGAGACCCUCUGCCAUCUACUGGGAAUCCAUCCAUUCAUUCAAUAAACAUGUCCAGAGUCUC